UGGGGAAUAUUGCACAAUGGAGGGAACUCUGAUGCAGCGACGCCGCGUGAACGAAGAAGGCUUUCGAGUCGUAAAGUUCUUUUAUAUGGGAAGAUAAUGACGGUACCAUAAGAAAAAGCCCCGGCUAACUACGUGCCAGCAGCCGCGGUAAUACGUAGGGGGCUAGCGUUGUCCGGAAUCACUGGGCGUAAAGGGUUCGCAGGCGGAAAUGCAAGUCAGGUGUAAAAGGCAGUAGCUUAACUACUGUAAGCAUUUGAAACUGCAUAUCUUGAGAAGAGUAGAGGUAAGUGGAAUUUUUAGUGUAGCGGUGAAAUGCGUAGAUAUUAAAAAGAAUACCGGUGGCGAAGGCGACUUACUGGGCUCAUUCUGACGCUGAGGAGCGAAAGCGUGGGGAGCGAACAGG
rnacentral:rRNA from 1 species